rnacentral:rRNA from 1 species
GACAGAGGGUGCAAGCGUUGUUCGGAAUUACUGGGCGUAAAGCGUGUGUAGGCGGUCCACUAAGUCGGAUGUGAAAGCCCUGGGCUCAACCCAGGAAGUGCACUCGAAACUGGUGGACUAGAGUAUCGGAGAGGUUGGUGGAAUUCUCGGUGUAGAGGUGAAAUUCGUAGAUAUCGAGAGGAACACCGGUGGCGAAGGCGGCCAACUGGACGAAUACUGACGCUGAGACACGAAAGCGUGGGGAGCAAACAGG